GACGAAGGAUGCAAGCGUUAUCCGGAUUCAUUGGGUUUAAAGCGUGCGUAGGCGGUUCGUUAAGUUCGUUGUGAAAGCCCCGGGCUCAACCUGGGAAUGGCAAUGGAAACUGGCGGGCUGGAGUAUGGCAGAGGGGGGUGGAAUUCCGCGUGUAGCAGUGAAAUGCGUAGAGAUGCGGAGGAACACCGAUGGCGAAGGCAGCCCCCUGGGCCAAUACUGACGCUCAGGCACGAAAGCGUGGGGAGCAAACAGG
rnacentral:rRNA from 1 species